rnacentral:rRNA from 1 species
CCCUAAAAGACCAUCCCAGUUCGGAUUGCAGGCUGAAACCCGCCUGUAUGAAGUUGGAAUCGCUAGUAAUCGCGGAUCAGCAUGCCGCGGUGAAUACGUUCCCGGGCCUUGUACACACCGCCCGUCACACCAUGGGAGCCGGUAAUACCCGAAGUCAGUAGUCUAACCGCAAGGAGGACGCUGCCGAAGGUAGGAUUGGCGACUGGGGUGAAGUCGUAACAAGGUAAC